AACCAUAGAAACCUGCGGAGUACCUGCGGAAGGAUCAUUACAGAGUUGCAAAACUCCCACAAGCCAUCGCGAAUCUUACCCGUACGGUUGCCUCGGCGCUGGCGGUCCGGAAGGCCCUCGGGCCCCCGGACCCUCGGGUCCCCCGCUCGCGGGGGGCUGCCCGCCGGAGUGCCGAAACCAAACUCUUGAUAUUUUAUGUCUCUCUGAGUAAACUUUUAAAUAAGUCAAAACUUUCAACAA
rnacentral:misc_RNA from 1 species